rnacentral:rRNA from 1 species
UGAGGAAUUUUGCGCAAUGGGGGAAACCCUGACGCAGCAACGCCGCGUGAGUGAUGAAGGCCUUCGGGUCGUAAAGCUCUGUCAAGUGGGAAGAACCUGCUCUGUGAUAACACCACGGGGCACCGACGGUACCACUGAAGGAAGCACCGGCUAACUCCGUGCCAGCAGCCGCGGUAAUACGGGGGGUGCUAGCGUUAUUCGGAAUCAUUGGGCGUAAAGGGCGCGUAGGCGGUCUUUUAAGUCAGAUGUGAAAGCCCUCGGCUUAACCGGGGAAGUGCAUUUGAUACUAAGAGACUUGAGUAUGGGAGAGGGAAGCGGAAUUCCUGGUGUAGCGGUGAAAUGCGUAGAUAUCAGGAGGAACACCGGUGGCGAAGGCGGCUUCCUGGACCAAUACUGACGCUGAGGCGCGAAGGCGUGGGGAGCAAACAGGAUUAGAUACCCUGGUAGUCCACGCAGUAAACGGUGAACACUAGGUGUAGCGGGUAUUGACCCCUGCUGUGCCGAAGCUAACGCAUUAAGUGUUCCGCCUGGGAAGUACGGCCGCAAGGUUA